GCCUUGUUUUAAACGGAAGCCAGAUAUCUCCAGAGGUCCUUUCCCAGCCUAAAAUUCCCCGUAAUUCAAAUUGCGCCCUCAGCUGCUUGUCUUUCUGAGAUGUGCUACAGCAUUCUGCUCUCAGUGGAGCUUCCUUCAGUUAGCGCCUUCUUGUGUAGAACUUAAUUUGUUUUACUUUCAUUUCAUUGUUAUCUCAGGUUUCACUCUUAUUUCAUCAUUACUUUUUCUUUCCUGCUUUGUAGAAGUUUCCUUUGAAAGACUUCUGAAGAAAGUCUUGCCACUUUUUUCCCCCCACUACUUUUUCUUCUGUCUUCAGCACCUUAUUUGAAUGACAUGUCAGUCUUACUUGUAAGGCCUCAGGAGCCCGCAGGAGUUACUUGGGUGCAGUGUGUGUAGCUAGAUUGUUUGCAUAUUUGUUUGUUUCCCAGGUUGUGUAUGUAGCAGUGGUAAAUCAGGACCAGUGUAUUUAUACAAAUAACCUUUGCAGCUUGAAAGAGUUUGUAGCCAUUAAAAGGACACUUGUGACUAACUUGGAGAGGAAAAAAAAAAAAAAAGUUACUUAGAUGUUAUUCCAGCUACUGCUAGGUUGCAUAGGAUGAUGGCUGAGCUCCUACUCUGUCCAUAGAAUGGUCUGGGCUGGAAGGGACCUCCAACCCCCCUGCCAUGGGCAGGGACAUCUGCCCAAAGCCCCAUCCAGCCUGUCCUUGAACACUUCCAGGGAUGGGGCAUCAACAACUUCUCUGGGCAACUUGUUCCGGUGUCUCACCACCCUCACAGUAAAGAAUUUCUUCCUAAUAGCUAAUCUAAAUCUACCCUCUUUCAGUUUAAAACCAUUUCCCCUUGUCUUAUCAUUACAGUCCCUGAUAAAAGAGUCCCUCCCCAUCUUUCCUGUAGGCCCCCUUUAGGUACUGGAAGACCUUACAAGGUCUCCCCAGAGUCUUCCCUUCUCCAGGCUGAACAACCCCAACCCUCUCAGCCUGUUUUCAUAGAAGAGGUACUAUGAUUCUCUUCGUGGCCCUCCUCUGGAUUCGCUCCAACAGGUCCAUGUCCUUCUUGUGCUGAGUGAGGUCUCCAGAGCUGGAUGCAGUACUCCGGGUGGGGUCUCAUGAGAGCAGAGUAGAGGGGCAGAAUCACCUCCCUUGACCUGCUGGCCACACUUCUAAUGAUGCAGCCCAGAACAUGGCUGGCUUUUUGGGCUGCGAGUGCACACUGCCGGCGUGAUGACACAAAUAUCCUGACUCCCUUGCGCUCUUCAUGAACUCUGCGAGUUUUGAGGCCUUUGUCCCUUUCAGACGUGACUGAAAUUAGUCGCAGGAUUCACAGGCCGGGGCUGAGGCAGGGGAGGAGCACCAGGCCUCCCUCGCCGGCCGUCUCGGUAGAGAAGCUGCACAGCGCCAGCUCCCGGCCCCGCCGCAUACGGAACACCUCCCUUCCCCGCACGGCGAGAGUCCGCAGACGGCUCAGACACCCAGCCUGAAGCACACGCAAAAACAACACGGCUGCGCCAACGCGCCCCCAGUCCCAUCUCGGGGUUACCGGUGCCGCACAGAAGGCGCCGGGCCGGCCGGAAGCGGCGCAAUCGCCUCAGGCAGCGCCGCGGGAACGCCCCCAACGGCCGCACUGGGCUCGCGGGACCUGCGGCGGGCGGGGUUUCGGCUGGCCAAUACAGGGCCGAGGCCGGCGCGGUACGCGCGGGGCUCGGCCGCUGCGGCGUUUAUGGCCGGUGGGGCGGCCGCGUGCCCAUCGCCGCUGACGCGAGCUGCGGGCGCCGGGGGUGUCGGCGCGGCCGCUUCCCGGGACCACGCGGCCUGGGCAGAGCCUCUGCCGCUUCCCGCCGCAGUGCCCUGCCCUGCCCUCCGACUGGGCGGGGCCGCGCUCCCCGGGCCGGGCUGGGCCCCCGCGGCCCCGAGGAGGGGUCCGGCGCUCCGCGCCCGCUGAGGGGCGGCUGGCGGGGAGCGUUCCGGCCGCUGUUGCGUUGUCUGAGGGGAGGCGGGCGGCUGGGCGACCCGCGCUGUCUGUGGGCCCCGGGCCGGCGGGCAGAGCAGGCGCCGUGCACUGAAUAAGCCCAACACGGCUAGGGACCCAUGUGGGACCGGGGUCGCUGCUGACUUACUGCCGGGGCCUGGAGUACAGUUUUGAGGUGCUUAUUGUCCUUAUGAUGCAAAAAAAGUCGGACCGUAUUUGGUGUUUCUUGUACCCAGUGCAGGGCUGCAGCAGUCAUGGAUGCUACUCGACCUUUUGGAAAAAUACCAUUUUAGGAUGGAUUGAUAGUACAGCUGGAAACACUGGUAGUAGUAGUUAGAAAAUGCCAAAAGUGCUUACAACAACUACGGCACAAAGAAAUGUGUGACAAAGUGCUUAGAACAACUACGGCACAAAGAGAUAUGUGUAAGAAUGGGAUUCUGUGUGUGUUAUGUGUCCUUCAGCAAAAGGAAAGCUGCUCAAUUACUUUUAGUUGCUGCGUAAGAGAUGAAAAUAUUUUUCUAAAUUCUUUAGCUACUCAGUGUAAAUACAGUUACUGCAGAGGCUUGUUGCUUCGUUCUCAUGACACUUCAGUGCUUGGUUAAAACAUCCCAUGUUUAAAUAUAGAAAGCUUCCUUGGUAAUGGAGUCAAAAGUAUAUUGAGAGCAGCCCUGAGGAGAAGGACUUGGGGAUGUUGGAGGGAGAAAUAGAUGCCGAAAAACUGCAGAGAUAUCUAAUAACAGUCUGGAAUCAGUGGUGCUGUUAUUUUAAGACACUGAGUGUUUUGCUAUGGCAGCCAGCGGGUAUAGCUCAGUGUUGAAGAGAGGUUACCACCACUGCCUUGCCUUCUAAGGUGCAGACUUGAGAAGACUAGAUUUUUAUGCCUAAUCUAAUUCUGUCACCCUUCGAAAUUAAAUGAUGAUAUUAAGGAGGCUACUCCAAGAUAGUAAGAGUGGCUUCAUUCAUGUUAAGCUCAUCACCAGCAGUAUGAGCAUUAGAAAUCAGAGCUUCCAUUAAACUUUCACAGUUUCUCGAAAAUUAAGAUAAAGUUCUCGCCUUGCACCGUGGCAUUCUGAGUGCUCAGCUGUUGGAGGAAGAGGAUCACCAACCUCUCAAAAUUCAUGUUUAGACGAACUGCUGCGAAUGGAAGCUGUUGUAGAGUUGUAAUCUUCCUGCCUGAUAGGACAUGCGCUUUGAAUGAAUACUUCGAUUUUUAAGUGCGCAUACACAGCAAUGAGUACCUUUUGCAUUUUAGUGUAUGUAGAAGCAUGGCUUUUUUUUAUCUGUACAUGUAUAAUUCCAGACAAGUAAACUUCUGUGUUAAACUCAAGAGCUUAAUGAAAAGCUUAUGAUUAUACAUAAUAGGCCAUGUCUUAUAAAUGGGUAGCUGGCUUACACAAAGAAAACAUGAGAUACCUACCCUAAAUGCUUUAUGCACUUCUUUCAUUAGUAGUGGCAUACUGUCUCAGAUGGCUCACACUGAAAAAUUCUGCUGGUUUGGAGAAACUAGAUCUGUGGACUCCUUUAAAAAACCAAAAUGUUCUAGAUAAAACUUUCUACUGCUCUAGCUUGUUGGAAUGCAGUGGUGGUUUUGUGAGGCAAGCUCGGAUAUUCCUAUUUGAAUGCAGCUGGAAUGGCCUUCAACUGACUGUACUUUAAUCCCCCCUAAGGCUUUUACCCAAGGAGAUCUGUCAAUGUGGUAGGGUUUGGGGUUUUUUUUGCUUGUUUGUUUUUUGUUCUGUUUGGUUUUUGUUUGUUUGUUUUUAAAAGCUCAGCUUAUUUUAAAAGCUUUCAAUGGCUUUUCAUCUGGAUCAGUAGAAUCACUUGCUGAAUAAGUCUUCCAUGUUGAACCCUUUCCAUGAUUCACUCUAAAUUCUGUAAAAUAAAAUCAUUCAAGCAACAGAACUGUCUGGCUUGAAGAUGGAUAUUUAGGCAGUUUAGCUAUUUAGACAAUUUUCACAAUUUUGUGAAAAUUUGGGCCUGAAUGGAUAGCAAUUGUCAGAUUUAUUACCCAGAUUUUGUAACUAGAAGUUACCGUAGAUUUUUUUUAAUUCCUCAGUUGGUGAAGUUAGGGCAUGUAGACAUGGAUAGAACUUCCAGUUCUGCUUGAGGGAUGGCGGUCAAUAUGAUACAUGGAGAUGGCUGUGUGCUAGGAUUUUCUGAAAAGGUCUGAUUUAUUGUGUCUGUUCUGUGAACUUCAAGCCAGUGAGUGGUGUCCUGUGUAAUCCUGUGCUUUUACAUUUAUUCCCACGGUGGUGUGAGUAUACUAAAUAUAAUUACAUUUUUUUUGCUCAGUGUUUUUGAUACAGAGAUAUAUUCAAUCUUUUGGGAUCCCUGUUAGUGGUGUUUGCAUUGUAGUAACUGAAUUCAAGUCAGUCACAAAUGAAAUGUUCACAUCCCGUUGUUUUUGACCGAAAUAAGUGCAUUGCAUUUAUUUGUGCAUAUUUAGAUUUCUUGCAAAUAAGUCUUCAUGGUGAUAUAAACUACUGAAUAUAUGUGCAGUGUAGAAGUGCUUUUAUUUGUACAGUAAACAGUCUUCCAGGAGAUCUUUGCUGAAAGCAAAAUAAUAAUUUACAUGAAUUGCAUUGGUACAAAAACCUGUUAUACAAAGAGGAUUUGCUACAGCUCAUAGUUGUGAAGUGUUUAUUUAGAUUAAAUUUGCAAAACUUUCUUUGUAUUUCCAA